UGCUUUGUGUCUGUGGUGUUGAUCCUUCGGCUCCUAAGAUAAAGGAAAUUACUUUGAAAGACCCAGAAGGGGUCGAUUGAAGUCUGAGAACAUCUAGCCUAAGACGUUAAAUGAGGGCGUUUAUUGGAAGGCAACCCAAUACUAGGCUUGCCCAAGCCUAUUACUUUCUCUUAUUCCCUUUUGAGUUUUAUUUUUAUUUUUAUUUUUCUUUAAUUUUUGAGUCAUCUUCUUACUGCCCUCCACUAGUAUGACUUAAUUUCUUUUCUGGGUAGGUACUGAAUACCAAAGAGGUUGAAAUUACUCUCUCAUGGUUAAAAUGGUUUUUAAUGGCCAUUUUUACUUUUAUUUUUAUUUUUACCCUUUCAGUAACAGUAACCAUGUUUUUUUUUUUGUCUUUAGUAAUCUCUUUUAUUCCCUUUUUCCUUUUCUCUUAUUUUUUUUUAUUUCCUUUUAACAGUUACCAUAUUUGCUCUUUUUAUUAUUUAAUCUUUUUGUUAGAGAAGUAAGCCAUCCGAACACCAUCAAAAGAAAGAAAAGACAAAACAGAGAGAGAUCGCGAGGGAGAGUGCUCAGUUCUUCACCUAUCGACGGUGCCGAAGUUCUAGAUGCCGCGCACCAAGCAACAGGCUGCCAGACUUCCCAUCGAUCCAGUGCCGCAACUGUCGCAUCCCGACUCGCCAUCGUCAUCUGAGUUGCAAACCAAUUCCAGCGACACAAAUGCGGUGGCUCUCUAUUGCCAGAUACCGCGCUCACAUCUUCCCAUAUCGACAAUGUGCGUCUCACCAACCACCUCGCCACCACUGCCCGUCUCAGGCAACAGAAGCCCAAACCAGUUUCGACUCUUCCUUCUUUAUGGAGACAAACCCAUUCCCAAACCCAAAGGAAUACGGCACUCACGGUUACUACCCCAGCACAAAGAAAAUGGGCCUGCGACUCGAUUUGGUGGAUGAGUUGGAUUCUGAUGAGAUUCCACCCCCACCACCGACUUAGCACAGGUAGCAGCAACCUCCUCCAUAGGGACAUUUCUCCAUCUUUGUCUUUUAUUUUUCUUUCAUUUACUUAUAUGUGUGGAACUCCUUGUACUUGAUUGAUAGUUCCAUGUUGAGGAUAAUGUGAGGAGUAAGUGUGGGGGAGGGGUCUGAUAUUGGACGUGCUUUAUUUGUUUAAUUUUGGUUUAUAUUUUAUAAAGCAUUGAAUUUUUUAGCAUUUUGUCCAUAUUCUAAAAUUUGAUUUAGAUAUUUCUUUUGGCAAGUGCUUUUAAAAUUUAAUAAAUUUUAGUGCUUAUCCCAUGGAAAUUUUGAUUGUUUGAUUGUUUGAUUGUUUGAUGUCUUAACUUAAUUGAUAUUUUCUUUUGACCUCCUAAGAGAAGUUCUUUAUCCUUAAACUGAAUCCUCUGUGUUAGGUUGAAUUUUUGAGAUUUUAAGUAAGGUAAUAGUAAUCUUUAUUAUAGACUUCCCUUUUCUCCAUACUAUUGAUAGCAUCCUUCAUCAUUCUCUUUUGUGUGAAUCAUUUAGGCUUGAGUUAAUUGGUGAAACUGCCAAUUUGCUUAUGCUUAAUUCACUGUUGUGCACAUUUCAAAACUUUGAUUAACCAGUCUGAGGCACUGCUCUUGGUACAUUGCUGCAUGUUUUGGAAGAAUGGAAGGUGCAAAUCGUGAAAAUCGAUAAUGUAAAAGGUGAGCAAUAAAAGAGAACAAAAAAAAGCGGUAAUGCACGUGACUUCUCUAAAGUUACAAACAAAAUAAAAAAAAGAGAAUAAAAGGGAAAUCAAAAAAGCGGUAAUGCACAUGAGUUCUCCAGAGUUUGCAAAUAAAAUAAAUAAAAAAGAUAGAGAGAGAGAGAGAAAUGUGCCUUCCUUUUCUUUCGAAUAUUUGCACCAAAUCCUAGAGUAUUGUGCCUUAGCAGGUUAACACUUAUGUGGCAGGUUAACACUUAUGUCUUGAGGUGCAACAACUUAAGUUUCUAUGGCACCUAAUCUAUUGCAUGUCUAAAAUAUUCCAAGUCUUCAUAUUUUGUAAUUAAAAGGGUGCUUUGAGGUUGCUUUAUACUAGUAUGGAGUUAGGAACAAGUAAUGAGUGAUUAUUACCUUACUUGCAUUUCCACCAAAAUUUUUUUAAUCUUUUGAUAGAGAAUGCUGCAGUAAGGUGAAGUGAACUUCUAUGCGGGGUUGGUUGAGAAUUUUAGUAAUGCUUGAGGACAAGCAUAGGAUAAGUGUGAGGAAAUUUGAUAAACAGUUAAUUUAGCAUAAAAUAUUCUUUGUUUAAAUCUUAUCUAUUAAUCCUUUUUUGUUUAAAUCUUAUCUAUGAGAAUUUUCAUUUGGUUUUCCUUUUUUCUAUAGAUUAUGCUAAAUUCAUUUGGAAAAGAGCUUUAGAGGCCAAUUCUUGGAGUUUUGAAGAAGUUUACCAAGCUAGAGCUAAACUUCUAGGAUGCUCCUAGAAGUUUUCAAGUUAGGCUUGGGCCACUUCAGUGGGGGACACAAGGUGAAGUGAACUUCUAUAUGGGGUUGGUUGGUCAUGCUUGAGGACAAGCAUGGGAUAAGUGUGGGGAAAUUUGAUAAACAGUUAAUUUAGCAUAAAAUAUUCUUUGUGUAAAUAUUAUCUAUUGAUAAUUUUUGGUUUAAAAUAAGAAUUUUCAUUUGGUUUUCUUUUUUUACGUAGAUUAUGCUAAAUUCAUUUGGAAAAGAGCUUUAGACGCCAAUUCUUGGAGUUUUGAAGAAGUUUACCAAGCUAAAGCUAAACUUCUAGGAUGCUCCUGGAAGUUUUCAAGUUAGACUUAGGCAACCUCAGUGGGGGACACAUCCAAAGCAGGUCCAAAACCCCUUGGAAGUUUCCAAGUUAAGCUUGGGCAAACUUAGUGGGAGGCGUAUCUAGAGCUGAUUGGGAUUGAAAUGCUUUGCUGGGUAGAAGGAAAUCAUUUAAAACAACUAUUCCACUAUUUAGGGGAUUAGGAAAGAUACUCAAAUUUGAAUAUUAGAUUUUCUUUUAAUUAUUGGAUUUUCUAAAGAUACUUAUGUUUUAUUUUCCUAGUUCAGGAUUUCCUUCCUUUGUUAUAAAUAGGACCUUAAGUUUAUUGAGGAGAUCAUCUUCUUCUCAUCUUAGAAAAAGCAGUUAUUUUAGGAUUUACUUUUCUUUGUGUUUUC
rnacentral:lncRNA from 1 species